GCUUACCACUCUAGAAAGCCUCAGUGCAGUAGCCAGUCCUGAAAAAAUUAUGGUCUGGUUACAGCGGCUACGAAAAAAUAAAAUGAAAUAAAACUGUUCCACUUGGCGGAAUUAGCAUUAAGUUAGAAAAUCAUGAAAAAUGAAACAACACUUUAAAAAAACAAUUGCAAGUCUAAAGAGUUCAAUGUUUAAUUUAUGCGUCCAUUUAUGCGUUUUAAUUGUGUCUUGACUCCCCAAUUUGCCAGGUCUCGCCCAACCUUGCUGCUGUAAAAUUAACUGCGCACUUUAGGCGGUUUCGUGAAGCGAGCCAUUGUACCGCGCGGCUUUUCCCUGGCUGAGAAAAGGACAUUACACAGCAGCGCAGCUUUCAGCCGAGCUCGGGUGUGGAACGGAGCCCUCUACCUUGGAGGUCAGCUUUGGUGAAACCGACUUUGUUUGCGAAAGAACAGAAAAAAAGCGAAAACAAGAAAAGAGAGAAGUCUCUUGAGUACAAGCCCUGAGUUUCAGACCAAAGCGGCAGUGCGACUAGUUUUGUUGACUGCCUGAAAACUGCUACAUCACAGGGUUCUCCACCAUUGUACCACUGUAGGAACUGUUAAAGUCUGGCAGCCGGCCGUUGAGAUCCACAGACGCCAGGCAGCCCUGGAAGCCGUCCCGGGACACCACCAGCUUGGGCAGGGUGUUGUACAUGCCUGGACCCAGCCCAGCAACGUAGAGUUCACCUUACACGGGGACAAGG